rnacentral:lncRNA from 1 species
UUACACACUAAAUAUUAAAUAGAUAGAUAUUUUAAAUUCGAAUUCUCAAGUCAACAAACUAAAUGUCAUCCAAUUACAAUUUGAAUAUAUUUACAAGAUUAACUUUCAGCUCUGAAUUUUUUCUGUCGAUAACUUUUUCCUUUUGUAGCUUACAGUUGAGAAAGGGUUACAUCCUGGCAUCAUUGGUCAGCAAAAAAUAGCAGUCAAAGCAGCAUAGAAUGCAU